CUAUAACAUUAAUUUUAUUUAGAAUAUUAUGCCAGAUCAGCAGAGAACAAACGAGAAUGAGUAAAAAGGUAUGAUUUUGACUUGUGUUACGGAGUCUUCAUUUUCACUAAUAUCAAUAAAUUCCAAAGGAAUGGUGGACCCUGCUUCCAAAAAGCAUCUCAGAACGACACGCCCUGCGGCUAGCUCCCGGCUCAACACAUCGCCCGCCUGCCUCCUCGCUGCACGGGGCAGCCCACGUCCACGUGGCCCUGAAGCUGGGGAACAGCACCCUUGAUUCCUUCUGGACUCUGAUCAGUUGGCGGGUCUUUGCACUCUGGCCUUUCCUAGCUUGACUUCCCAUCCACUGGAGGCUCUGAGUCUCUAAGUCAAGAGUCUGCCAGAUUUAAGCAUUAACCGAGGUGUGAAUUCACUUACAGACCAGGAGGAGCAGACUCGCCAGCGACUCCUCACCCUGCAAUGUCCUGUCACGCACUCAGGGGUGCGUUUCCUGCCCUCUCCCCGCUGGAGGGCAUGAGCCCCCCGCCCCCCCACCCCCCCAACCCUCCAGGCAGAGAGACACGCCAGGCAGUCUACAAGGACCAUUCCUAAAGGGAUGACCUUCCUGAAGCUUUGACCUGUAGCGACCAGGCGUCUACAGCGAGGCGUCUGCUCCCCAUAGCACCCAGGUUCCCAGGGAUGCGUCUCAGCGCCCUUCUGAGCCCUGAGGGGAGUUUCCAGCUGGGCUCCACCUGCUUUGUUCUCCGAGACUGGAGACACGGAACGCCGGACUUAUAUUUCACUUUGAAGCCUGUGCCCUUGAAGGCUGACACCCACUGGUAUCCGAUGGUGCUGAUAAGGCUGCUGUUUCUAAGCUGGACGUUCACCCAGGCUCCUGGUGGCACCAGGGGACAAGCAGCCACACCACUGAGAAGGUCUUCUCUCUGUCACUGCUACAGGUAAGACCACCAGAGCUCCUCCCUGUAAGACCAAAGGCCUGGGCUUUGCACAGGCUUUACAGUGUUGCUUUGUUUAACUUCUACAGUGCUGUGUUGGUUUCCGCCAUACAACAAUGGCCAUAAUUAUACAAAUCAGCCAUAAUUAUACAAAUG
rnacentral:lncRNA from 1 species